rnacentral:misc_RNA from 1 species
UCAGUUUGCUGGUGAGUGCCGAAGCGUGCAGACGUGUAUCCAGUGCCCUGUGAAGUUCACAAAACAACACGUGACGCCCAUCUGUCGAAAGCGAAUCCAACAAACCUAACAAUCACUCCUGCUCGGGCAGCCGAGGAGGACGGACGUGUCUAGACGGUCGUCCUCUUCAGGUAUAAGUGAAUAGGGAAAAAGUGCUUCAAAGUAAUAGUGCUGUAAAGUGAUAGUGAGGAGGAAAUAAAAGAGCAAUGCA